rnacentral:rRNA from 1 species
CGGAAUCGCUAGUAAUCGCGGGAUCAGCAUGCCGCGGUGAAUACGUUCCCGGGCCUUGUACACACCGCCCGUCACACCAUGGGAGUUUGUAACGCCCAAAGUCGGUGGCCUAACCUUUAUGGAGGGAGCCGCCUAAGGCGGGACAGAUGACUGGGGUGAAGUCGUAACAAGGUAUC